CGGUAAUUCCAGCUCCAAUAGCGUAUACUAAAGUUGUUGCAGUUAAAAAGCUCGUAGUUGGAUUUCUGCGGGGACGGAGCGGCCGGUCGCAACUUGCGACUCGAGCUAGCGCUUUCCCCGCAUCCUGCCGCGAACCGUGCUACCAUUAGUUUGGUGGCGCUGGGGAUCGGCUCGAUUACUUUGAGAAAAAUAGAGUGUUCAAAGCAGGCCACACGCCUUGAAUAAGUUAGCAUGGAAUAAUGACUAAGGACUUUGGUUCUUUUCGUUGGUGUUCGGGACUGAAGUAAUGAUUGAUAGGGACAGUUGGGGCGGUCCGUAUUCCAAAGCGAGAGGUGAAAUUCUUAGACCUUCGGAAGACGAACAGCUGCGAAAGCGUUCCGCAAGGAUGUUCCCUUUGAUCAAGAACGAAAGUUGGGGGAUCGAGGACGAUCAGAUACCGUCGUAGUCUCAACUAUAAACUAUACCAGUUAGGGAUCGGCCAACGUUUAAUUAUUCGACUUGGUCGGCACCUUAUGAGAAAUCAAAGCAUCUGGGUUCCGGGGGGAGUAUGGUCGCAAGGCUGAAACUUAAAGGAAUUGACGGAAGGGCACCACCAGCCGUGGAGCCUGUGGCUUAAUUUGACUCAACACGGGAAAACUUACCAGGUCCGGACAUAGUAAGGAUUGACAGAUUGAUAGCUCUUUCUUGAUUCUGUGGGUGGUGGUGCAUGGCCGUUUUUAGUCGGUGGAUGUGAUCUGUCUGCUUAAUUGCGUUAACGGACGAGACCCCAGCCUGCUAAAUAGCGCGGCCGAGCUUUGCUCGGUGCGAGCUUCUUAGAGGGACCAUGAUGCGCGAUAGCACAAGGAAGUUUGGGGCAACAACAGGUCUGUGAUGCCCUUAGAUGUUCUGGGCCGCACACGGGCUACACUGGCGCCUGCAACGAGCAUAUCAGCUGGCCCGAGAGGGUCUUGGCUAAUCUUUGGAACCGGCGCCGUGCUUGGGAUUGACCAUUGCAAUUGUUGGUCAUGCAACGAGGAAUGCCUUGUAAACGCGAGUCAUCAGCUCGCAUUGAAUACGUCCCUGCCCUUUGUACACACCGCCCGUCGCUCCUACCGAUGAAUGUUCCGAUGAAAUUUUCGGAGAGCGCCGGAGAACGGGGCUCCGCCCUGCAGAACUGGAGGCUCAAAGUCACUUAAAUCUGAACAUUUCGAGGAAGGAGAAGUCGUAACAAGGUAACC
rnacentral:rRNA from 1 species